CGGGACGGGUGAGUAAUGUCUGGGAAACUGCCCGAUGGAGGGGGAUAACUACUGGAAACGGUAGCUAUACCGCAUAACGUCGCAAGACCAAGAGGGGGACCUUAGGGCCUCUUGCCAUCGGAUGUGCCCAGAUGGGAUUAGCUAGUAGGUGGGGUAAUGGCUCACCUAGGCGACGAUCCCUAGCUGGUCUGAGAGGAUGACCAGCCACACUGGAACUGAGACACGGUCCAG
rnacentral:rRNA from 1 species